UAUAAGAGACAGCAGUCGCCGCGGGAAUACGUAGGUGGCAAGCGUUGUCCGGAAUUAUUGGGCGUAAAGCGCGCGCAGGCGGUUUCUUAAGUCUGAUGUGAAAGCCCCCGGCUUAACCGGGGAGGGUCAUUGGAAACUGGGAGACUUAGAGUGCAGAAGAGGAGAGUGGAAUUCCAUGUGUAGCGGUGAAAUGCGUAGAUAUAUGGAGGAACACCAGUGGCGAAGGCGACUCUCUGGUCUGUAACUGACGCUGAGGCGCGAAAGCGUGGGGAGCAAACAGGAUUAGAUACCCCCGUAGUCCCUGUCUCUUAUA
rnacentral:rRNA from 1 species